UUUAUUAAUCCGGAAAAAAAAAUCAGCUAAACCUAAACCCAGCCGAAAAUCCAUAACCCUAGCUUCCAUCUUCUCUUCCACUUUCUUCCCCUUUCGUAUUCUUGGUUGUUUUCUAGAUUAUGAGACUGUAGCUGUAGUUGCUUCUUAUCUCUCCUGUUUCUCUUCUUCGAGCCCUAGGUUUUUGUUUGUUCUUUCGCUGUCUGAUCUAAUCAAUCUUCGUUUUGUUUGUUGCAGAGAUAUUUAGGUUAAAGUCGUGGAAGCUGUUACGGCUGGUGGAGGAAGUCGAUGAAAAGAACAAGGGGCCGAGAUGUUGUGAUGAAGUAUCAGUGAAGGAGAUAAGUUUGAUGGUUUUGGUAUUUGAAGCUCAAUUAGGGUUUUUACUUUGUGCUUUGUGAGGCAAAAUAGUUUCGGAAAGAUGAAUAGAAGAAGAAGGUACCGUCAGUUGGUCCGCUGGAUUUAGUUUGUCUGCUCUAUGAAAAGCCAUCAGUGUACACAACAUCGACAUAACCACAAUCAGUGAAAUUCGGGAAAGGUAUCUUUUUCCUGCUAAUCUUCUAAUGUCUUCGUGUGUACGUCAGCCGCUACCAAAGUACCCCUCAAAAAUGAUUGACAAUAUCUUGCAUGCCACGCUGUAGCAAAAAACCAGUGGGUGAUAACAAUGACGUUUGGCGCACUGAAUACGAGACUAAAUUCGACAUUCACAUCCAAAGGUUCUUGGUGCACUUUGGAUGGAGUAGAACAUAACAAGGUUCCACGGUUUGCGCCAAUCUCGAUAUUGAGGUCCAGAAGUUGUUUUUUCACACCGCUAUUAGUCGUUGAUUGAGUCAAAGAGUUAAAUCUUCUUCAGUAGCAUAUCCUAUGAAUCAAACAUACUUUCGGCCAAACACCUGCCGAUGGCAGUGAUUGAUGAUGGAACUCGAGAAGCAGUAAAGACGAAAGCAUCGAUUCAAGACAUGGAAUGAUCCAUCCAUGCUGCAAACAUAGAAUGCCCCGUGCUCCCAAUAUCAGCUAACAUGAAGAAUUAAGAUGGGUUUUAGCUGCUGCUUGAGUUAGAGAGAACAAGGAAGGGUGAUGUUGUUAAUGCUCGGUGAUGGGUGAGAGAAGACAGUGGUCGUGUCUGUGAUGGUUGUGGUUAUCGAGACUGUGAUGAUGAUGACUGUUUCUUAAGGUGUCGUCUCCCAUGUUCCUCCCUGUAUUCUCACCAUGGAUUUUGGAAGGAUCAAGGUAUCUUAAGUCAAAGAGCCAAAGAGCGGAAUAGGCAGAGAGGGAGUCUUCAUACUUCUGUUCGUACAAACAGGGAGAUUUCCUUUCAAGAAAACUGGCAAGGACUUGGGCGAGGCGAAGCUGAGCUUUACCAAAUCAAAGAAAGAGGCUGUGAUGCAUUGUAUUUGUAGAUUGAAUUGGUGAACCAAGUUUGUACGCCCGGGCACAAAAUCUAGUUAGGCUAGUAACCAUAUUUGAAAACAAAUGACAUAUUUGGCAGACGAGAUAGCUUGGUAGUUAACAAGGCAGGUGAGCGGAACCAUUCAAAUACCAUAAAUUAACAUGUUGUUUUUGGUUUAUCAGUUUGCUGAAGGGCCAAGCCACGGAGGUAGGUCCUAGUUAAUAGGGUAGGAGACAGAUUGCGGGACAAUUGAAUAGGAGCGAGGCCGAUUUGGUUAGCGUUGUACUGACUUGAGCCAGGUCUGUGCCGCCACAUGCCAGCUUAUCUAAGCUGGUUGAAUUUGAUUUCUGCUUGAAGUUUGAAAAAAUUGACGAAGGUAGAGCCUAGUGUCAUAGUUUUUUCUGGUGUUUGUGAGGCAUUUUCUUUAUGUUCUGUUUCACUAGAGUUGUUUCCAAGGGAUUUAUUGCCUGCAGGAUCAUGCCAAGAAACAUCAUGGGAGUAUUGCCCGGGUAGAUAUUUUUCAGAUCCUUUUGCGUAGUUGGAGAAGUUUAUUCUUGCAAUGUAGUCAAUGUUUUCGGAA